rnacentral:rRNA from 1 species
UAGGGAAUCUUCGGCAAUGGACGAAAGUCUGACCGAGCAACGCCGCGUGAGUGAAGAAGGUUUUCGGAUCGUAAAACUCUGUUGUUAGAGAAGAACAAGGACGUUAGUAACUGAACGUCCCCUGACGGUAUCUAACCAGAAAGCCACGGCUAACUACGUGCCAGCAGCCGCGGUAAUACGUAGGUGGCAAGCGUUGUCCGGAUUUAUUGGGCGUAAAGCGAGCGCAGGCGGUUUCUUAAGUCUGAUGUGAAAGCCCCCGGCUCGACCGGGGAGGGUCAUUGGAAACUGGGAGACUUGAGUGCAGAAGAGGAGAGUGGAAUUCCAUGUGUAGCGGUGAAUUGCGUAGAUAUAUGGAGGAACACCAGUGGCGAAGGCGGCUCUCUGGUCUGUAACUGACGCUGAGGCUCGAAAGCGUGGGGAGCAAACAGG